UACGGGAGGCAGCAGUGGGGAAUUUUGGACAAUGGGCGCAAGCCUGAUCCAGCAAUGCCGCGUGCAGGAAGAAGGCCUUCGGGUUGUAAACUGCUUUUGUACGGAACGAAACGGUCUUGGUUAAUACCCGGGGCUAAUGACGGUACCGUAAGAAUAAGCACCGGCUAACUACGUGCCAGCAGCCGCGGUAAUACGUAGGGUGCAAGCGUUAAUCGGAAUUACUGGGCGUAAAGCGUGCGCAGGCGGUUUUGUAAGACAGGCGUGAAAUCCCCGGGCUCAACCUGGGAAUUGCGCUUGUGACUGCAAAGCUGGAGUGCGGCAGAGGGGGAUGGAAUUCCGCGUGUAGCAGUGAAAUGCGUAGAUAUGCGGAGGAACACCGAUGGCGAAGGCAAUCCCCUGGGCCUGCACUGACGCUCAUGCACGAAAGCGUGGGGAGCAAACAGGAUUAGAUACCCUGGUAGUCCACGCCCUAAACGAUGUCAACUGGUUGUUGGGUCUCUUCUGACUCAGUAACGAAGCUAACGCGU
rnacentral:rRNA from 1 species